rnacentral:lncRNA from 1 species
AAUAGGUAACUUCUCACAGUGUGGAGGUCAUAAAACAUAAAAUUUAAAAUGCUUAACCUCAGGUUAAUGAUUCAACAGCAUAUUCAUUGAGGGGAAAACCACUUUGGAAGUCAUUCCUGAAGAAUUAUCUCAUCUUUGAAGUAAUGGCCCAUGGCUAAAGAAAUCCCACGGUUCCAGAAAGGAGAGUUGGAAAGAAAAUUUGGAAGAAAUUACUUGAAGAUAAAGAAUUCUCCAAACAAAAGGGAAAUACUGUCCCAAUAUUCAGAGUUAAUUCAAACUCCCUAGUGGGAAGACAAUAUCCAGCUCUGACAAGGGACCACACAGAGGGAUGCUUGGUGUUUCCAAGAGUUCAAUCUGUCCUCCUAGAAAGGAAAGAAAGCAUCAUAUUAUUCUACAUUUGGCUUCAAUCAAGUUCAUUGGAUAUGGUCCUGGAGUUUGGUCUGCUGACAGUUGAUUGCUAAUACCUUCUCCAAAACAGGACUUCUGCCCAACAGAGUUGCCUUGCUCCUGAGAAAACAUGGGAGAACCAGCAGAAGACUCCAAGAUCCCAGAGGAUCCUGAAAUACUUGUUUCCGGACAGCGAGAAUCAGGACCUGCAAGUAAGAGAGCGCCACUGAGGACUGAAUCUACACAAUGAACUUGAAGAAUUAAGGACUGACUUUACUCUCCACUUUUAUCUAUGAAGUCAUAUCUUACAACAAAUAGCCUAAACUGGUGUAUAUAGCUGGUUCUGUGGAAGGACCAAGAAGACUUUAGAUGGCUCUUGUCUAAAGUCUUCGUGCAAGUACUUGAGAAACAAAACCAUUAAUUACACAUGAGGAAGGGUAUUCAGUAUUAUUUUUAAAUAAAAAUUACUAAUGUUUUUAGGUCUCA